GAUCAUGCAGUCAUUGCUGGGCCACCCUUCCCUCCUGGGCCUCCAGGCUCCUCCAAGCCUGCCUCUCAGCUCCUCCCAUGGGAGAAGCUCAAACGUCCAGAUGCAGGCCCCUGCCUCUAGCACAGUCUUCUCUUCUAGCUCUGGAUUCCUCAGCAUCGGAGCGUGGAGUCUCCAUACACCUGCCACCAGGUUCCCAUUCCGUUGUAUUGGAGUCUGGGGCUUUGGCUGAACAAGGUCUGCUGUGAGGAUCUCUGGAGUCUUAUUUUUCUUGUGGUCUUGCCCCAUGUCCCGUGAUGCAUGGCCUGGGUCUAGGCCUGCCCUCCCUGGCCCUCUCUGGGGAGGGGCUGGUCCUCGUCACCGUCUGGCCAGGCCUGCACGGCACCUGACAGUGAUUCCUCAAGUCCCCUGGCCUGUGGAGGACAACCUUCAAGCCACCGGCAUCGAAUCCCAGUCUCGCGAUGUUUCUUUGGCAUUUGUUGUGGGAGUUGGUGGUAGAGGAGGUUCAG
rnacentral:lncRNA from 1 species